AUUGAACGCUGGCGGCAUGCCUUACACAUGCAAGUCGAACGGUAACAGGUCUUCGGAUGCUGACGAGUGGCGAACGGGUGAGUAAUACAUCGGAACGUGCCUAGUAGUGGGGGAUAACUACUCGAAAGAGUGGCUAAUACCGCAUGAGAUCUACGGAUGAAAGCAGGGGAUCGAAAGACCUUGUGCUACUAGAGCGGCCGAUGGCAGAUUAGGUAGUUGGUGGGAUAAAAGCUUACCAAGCCGACGAUCUGUAGCUGGUCUGAGAGGACGAUCAGCCACACUGGGACUGAGACACGGACCAGACUCCUACGGGAGGCAGCAGUGGGGAAUUUUGGACAAUGGGCGAAAGCCUGAUCCAGCAAUGCCGCGUGCAGGAUGAAGGCCUUCGGGUUGUAAACUGCUUUUGUACGGAACGAAAAGCCCUGGGUUAAUACCCCGGGGUCAUGACGGUACCGUAAGAAUAAGCACCGGCUAACUACGUGCCAGCCGCCGUGGUAAAAC
rnacentral:rRNA from 1 species